GUUGGGUAUGGAGAUAUUUACCCAAAAACUCUUCUAGGUAAGAUAGUUGGAGGUUUGUGUUGUAUUGCUGGAGUAUUGGUAAUAGCUCUUCCCAUUCCUAUUAUAGUAAACAAU